rnacentral:tRNA from 1 species
ACGUGGGUGGCUCAGUCAGUUGAGCGUCUGACUUCAGCUCAGGUCAUGAUCUCACGGUUCAAGAGUUUGAGUCCCACGUA